rnacentral:rRNA from 1 species
GUGCCAGCAGCGGCGGUAAUACGUAGGGGCAAGCGUUGUCCGGAAUUAUUGGGCGUAAAGCGCGCGCAGGCGGUUCCUUAAGUCUGAUGUGAAAUCUCGCGGCUCAACCGCGAGCGGUCAUUGGAAACUGGGGAACUUGAGUACAGAAGAGGAGAGUGGAAUUCCACGUGUAGCGGUGAAAUGCGUAGAUAUGUGGAGGAACACCAGUGGCGAAGGCGACUCUCUGGUCUGUAACUGACGCUGAGCGCGAAAGCGUGGGAGCGAACAGGAUUAGAUACCCUGGUAGUCCACGCCGUAAACGAUGAGUGCUAGGUGUUAGGGUUCCGCCCUUAGUGCUGCAGUUACGCAUUAAGCACUCCGCCUGGGA